UAUUAAAAAUUCAAUCAUUUUUACUAUUAAACAUUGGUAUGGCUAAUAGAAUAACCAGACAGAUACACUUGAUGUGUCUUGUGUACUUUAUUCUUACCUAUAGAUAUCAACUUUUAACCAUAGAAAUUGAUAGAAAUUUUAACA
rnacentral:pre_miRNA from 1 species